GGCAACGGAGCGUGCACCUAGUGACUCGCUAGUGCCCGGAAGGCCGCGCGCGUCGUCGUGACCGCCACACUGGUCGCCUGAAGAGUCCGCGUCGGGCAGCCGGCAGAGAGAAGGCCUCACUCAGUGAAACUUGGAUAUUGGAAUCCCUUCCAAAAGAAGACUAAUGGGUGUUAACCAGCAUAUCACUACACAGCCUGUGAACCUGAAGGUAUGUCUCUGAUGCAGAGUAACUGAAGAGAAGAGACAUCCUAUUACCACAAUAAUGCAGAGAAAAAACACCAAAGGCAUCUUGGAUGGUCAAAAGCAGCUCUCCUAUCUCUGAACCCAAAAGUUGGAUUUACAAGGUCCUAUUUUUAACCCAAUUUUAUAUAAGGAUAUUGUGACUCAAGUGAACACAAAGAGUAAAAUCCAGGAGUACUUGGCACUUUUUGCUGUGACUAAACCUAUAAUUUCAUGGGUACAGAGAACUUCCAGUAAGGAAACUCCCACAACCAGAUCAGAUAAGACACCCACUCAGCAAGUUAACCACCAUAAAGGACUGUCUGGAGCAUUAAGGUGCAAGGUGAUUUGCCUAGGGAUGCUUGUAACACUAGCUAUAUAGACAAAAUGCACAAAAUAUUAAGAUAAUGCUAGAUCCAUCUUCUAGCUGAUAGAUAAUAAUUCCUUCCUCCAAAGGAAUUUUCUUAAUACACACAUACACCUUACAGUCUCUCAGAAAAUGAAUUCAAAGAAAAUCUUAAAAAACUUUACAGUCAUC